rnacentral:tRNA from 2 species
AGUAAGGUCAGCUAAAUAAGCUUUUGGGCCCAUACCCCAAACAUGUUGGUUAGAGUCCUUCCUUUACUA